UUAUUCUUUUUUAACUUUUUAAUAUUAUUUGUUUUUUUUUAUUAUUAUUUUUAUUUAUGGUAUAUUCAAGAACACAGUAGUCUAUAGAUCUUAAUUCAUCUUUUAUUUCUUUUAUAUAUCAUCUGAGUUUUUAUAAUAUAUAUAACAUGCGCAUUUAUUUAUACUUAUACAUUUUAAUACAUAUAAUAUAUAUAGAUAUAGAUUAAUAGAAAAAACAUAUAUAAUUUAAAGAAGAUACAUUUUAAGAUAUUAGACGAGUAUACAUGGUGUUGAUAAGGAUUUAUUUAUUUUUAUUUAUUUAUUUUUAUAUGUAAUUUUGUUGCCCUUUCAUAUAUGUAUAUCUCGGUCUUAUUUUGAUUUUAUAUAUUUACAUUAAAACGUAUGAGUGCAUUUUUGUGAUACCCACCUUGUUAUAGUUUUAUUUAAAUUAUUGUUAUAUUAAAUUAUAUUUUUAAAUGUAUAUAUAUAUAUAUAUAUAUAUAUAUAUAUAUAU